UUUAUGGAGAGUUUGAUCCUGGCUCAGGAUGAACGCUGGCGGCGUGCCUAAUACAUGCAAGUCGAGCGAACGGACGAGAAGCUUGCUUCUCUGAUGUUAGCGGCGGACGGGUGAGUAACACGUGGAUAACCUACCUAUAAGACUGGGAUAACUUCGGGAAACCGGAGCUAAUACCGGAUAAUAUUUUGAACCGCAUGGUUCAAAAGUGAAAGACGGUCUUGCUGUCACUUAUAGAUGGAUCCGCGCUGCAUUAGCUAGUUGGUAAGGUAACGGCUUACCAAGGCAACGAUGCAUAGCCGACCUGAGAGGGUGAUCGGCCACACUGGAACUGAGACACGGUCCAGACUCCUACGGGAGGCAGCAGUAGGGAAUCUUCCGCAAUGGGCGAAAGCCUGACGGAGCAACGCCGCGUGAGUGAUGAAGGUCUUCGGAUCGUAAAACUCUG
rnacentral:rRNA from 1 species